UACGUAGGGUGCGAGCGUUGUCCGGAAUUAUUGGGCGUAAAGAGCUUGUAGGUGGUUUGUCGCGUCUGCUGUGAAAAUCCGAGGCUCAACCUCGGACUUGCAGUGGGUACGGGCAGACUAGAGUGUGGUAGGGGAGACUGGAAUUCCUGGUGUAGCGGUGGAAUGCGCAGAUAUCAGGAGGAACACCGAUGGCGAAGGCAGGUCUCUGGGCCAUUAACCGACACUGGAGAAGCGGAAAGCAUGGGGAGCGAACAGG
rnacentral:rRNA from 1 species